AUGAUGGUUCAGCGUUACGUUUGUAUUAUCAGUCUGGACAAAACUUCCUGUUCUUGGAAUCAGACUGGAGACGGCCGUGACUGCUCCAGUGGGUUAGAGCAGGCUCUGCAGCCUUGGUUACCAACUUAUGCUAUAAAAGGAUCAUAUAUCCUUCAUAUAUCCAUCAUAUAUCCUUCAUAUAUCCUUCAUAUAUCCAUCAUAUAUCCAUCAUAUAUCCUUCAUAUAUCCAUCAUAUAUCCUUCAUAUAUCCUUCAUAUAUCCAUCAUAUAUCCUUCAUAUAUCCAUCAUAUAUCCCUCAUAUAUCCUUCAUAUAUCCAUCAUAUAUCCUUCAUAUAUCCUUCAUAUAUCCAUCAUAUAUCCAUCAUAUAUCCUUCAUAUAUCCAUCAUAUAUCCUUCAUAUAUCCAUCAUAUAUCCAUCAUAUAUCCUUCAUAUAUCCAUCAUAUAUCCCUCAUAUAUCCAUCAUAUAUCCCUCAUAUAUCCAUCAUAUAUCCAUCAUAUAUCCCUCAUAUAUCCUUCAUAUAUCCAUCAUAUAUCCCUCAUAUAUCCUUCAUAUAUCCAUCAUAUAUCCUUCAUAUAUCCAUCAUAUAUCCAUCAUAUAUCCUUCAUAUAUCCAUCAUAUAUCCAUCAUAUAUCCCUCAUAUAUCCUUCAUAUAUCCUUCAUAUAUCCAUCAUAUAUCCCUCAUAUAUCCCUCAUAUAUCCAUCAUAUAUCCCUCAUAUAUCCCUCAUAUAUCCUUCAUAUAUCCAUCAUAUAUCCAUCAUAUAUCCCUCAUAUAUCCUUCAUAUAUCCUUCAUAUAUCCAUCAUAUAUCCUUCAUAUAUCCAUCAUAUAUCCCUCAUAUAUCCAUCAUAUAUCCCUCAUAUAUCCAUCAUAUAUCCAUCAUAUAUCCCUCAUAUAUCCCUCAUAUAUCCUUCAUAUAUCCAUCAUAUAUCCAUCAUAUAUCCUUCAUAUAUCCUUCAUAUAUCCAUCAUAUAUCCUUCAUAUAUCCAUCAUAUAUCCAUCAUAUAUCCUUCAUAUAUCUCAUAUAACAUUCCCUCAAUAUCAUAUAUCCAUCAUAUAUCCUUCAUAUAUCCUUCAUAUAUCCAUCAUAUAUCCAUCAUAUAUCCUUCAUAUAUCCUUCAGAAAGACGGCUCCAACAUCUCUGUCCUCCUGUCGGUUGGAGCCACUUUGGCAGUUGUGGUGA
rnacentral:lncRNA from 1 species